AUACUGAAAUGCAUGGUGGGAAAUCAGUGUGAAAUUCAUUGGCUGUUCCUGCAACCGUAAAGUCGGAGCGCCACCCGGUAU
ncrna:unclassified sequences AdoCbl variant RNA